AGGGUGAUAAAGUCAUGAUCAAGCUCUUACCCCAACAAUUCAAGACAUUACGAAAAGUCCAUAAGGGGUUAGUGAGACGCUACGAGGGACCCUUCCAAGUUGUUCGACGUGUGGGCAAUGUCUCGUAUCAACUCCAGCUGCCGCCAAGACUCAAGAUCCAUCCGGUCUUCCAUGUGAGUCUUCUCAAGCCAUAUCACGAAGACAUGGAAGACCCUAGUCGUGGAGAAUCAAGCCGUGCACCAACCGCCGUUGUCACAGCAUUCGACAAAGAUGUGGACUACAUCAUUGCGGAUCGUGUGGUUUCGAGAAGGGGGGUAUCACGAAGACAUGGGAGACCCUAGCCGCGGAGAAUCGAGCCGUGCACCAACCGCCGUUGUCACACCAUUCGACAAUGAUGUGGACUACAUCAUUGUGGAUCGCAUGGUUUCGAGAAGGGGGGUGCCAGCACAUAACGAGUACUUGGUAAAAU
rnacentral:lncRNA from 1 species